rnacentral:rRNA from 1 species
GACGAACGCUGGCGGCGUGCCUAAUACAUGCAAGUCGAACGAAGCUGUUUUAACUGGUGCUUGCACCGACUUAAACAACUGAGUGGCGAACGGGUGAGUAACACGUGGGUAACCUGCCCCAAAGCGGGGGAUAACAUUUGGAAACAGAUGCUAAUACCGCAUAACCACAGAAACCACAUGGUUUCUGUGUCAAAGAUGGUUUCGGCUAUCACUUUGGGAUGGACCCGCGGCGUAUUAGACAGUUGGUAAGGUAAGGGCUUACCAAGGCAAUGAUACGUAGCCGAACUGAGAGGUUGAUCGGCCACAUUGGGACUGAGACACGGCCCAAACUCCUACGGGAGGCAGCAGUAGGGAAUCUUCCACAAUGGACGAAAGUCUGAUGGAGCAACGCCGCGUGAGUGAAGAAGGUUUUCGGAUCGUAAAACUCUGUUGUCAGAGAAGAACGUGUGCGAGAGUAACUGCUCGUGCAGUGACGGUAUCUGGCCAGAAAGCCACGGCUAACUACGUGCCAGCAGCCGCAGUAA